GUAAUUGAUGAAAAGUUGCAGACUAAGUCCAUUUUAAUAUGAGAAAUGAUGAGAUCAGGUUCAUUGGUUAUAUAAUACUACAGCUCCUGUAGCUUUAAAAUCUCUAAGGAUAAAGAAUCUGUGGAUAGUGAAUGUUAGGUAUGAUAAAAAUGGGAUUUCAUAGAUCUUGAUAUUGGUCAUUUAUAGCUUAAAUCCUAUUAUAGGGCCUUUAACCUGAAAGGUCUAGGAGAGCAGGACAGGUCAACAUACCUAUUAGAUAAAAUAAAAUAAAAAAUCUCUAGAAAUUACGAGUACCUGAUAGCCGUGUGAGAGAUGCCCACCAUGAGGAAGAUCAAGUGCCAUGAUCCUAUCAUGAGGUUUUAACAAUGCAGUGUAGACUUGAAAAUUAGAUGGAGAUCCAGACAGAGACUGCACAUUCACUGCAGCAUAACAGGGCAUAAUGAACAUGAGAAAGCAUUAAGUCAUCACAUGUAACAUAACUCCUCCCACAAACUUUUCUUUUCAAUUAUGAAGUCGCUUAGCUGUCUCCUUGACACCAAAGAAUGCUCUUAAAAUUGCCUUUGAUAAUGAACAUUUUGGUUAGUACCAAUCCUUUAAAGAUUCAUAAUUGACUGAUAAGUUGCAUAUGGGCAUUAUAAACAUCAAUACCUAUAGAAUUUUCGUACUGACAUACUUUCAGAAAAUUACUGCAGCAUUAGAAAAACAACAAGUAUUUUUCCGAGAAUUUCAAAUGACAAGUUUGCACCUCCCCAUUUUUCAGGAUCCAACCGAAAUGCUUCCAGAGCUCGCUUCUGACAUAAGGAUUCCGCCAUGUCAAUAUACCUGAGAAAUGACAGGUCCAUUUUCAACAGCUAAUUUAGUCACGAAGUUAAAGAAGUAGAUAUGAAGGAAUCAACUUCAUAAUUUUCCAGUCACUUAUAUCAGCUUAUUAUAAACAUCACAGAUUGAACUAAUUAGCUCAACAUACUCGUUUCCUCCAUAAUAUCUUGCACCUGGAUAUCCUUCACUGUACUUGUUGGUCAUGACAGACCCCACAGCUUGCAUCACGGAUACUGAAGUAAAGUUCUCUGAAGGAAUGAGUUCAAGUCCCUUCAAAAUCACACAAAAUUUAUUCCAGUAAGCUAUCCAAAUUUUUAAUGUAGUUGGAGCUUAACAGCAAGACAGAAACUAUAAAGUAAAAAAUAAAUUGAAUAUAGAUAAACUAUUUCAGAUAAUUCAGAAUUAUUUUUUCUAAAAAAAAGAAAUCCAUCCCAAAAGAAACCUGAAAUUUUCAUAUAUUGGAGAAAUAGUAAUCCAGAUACAGGCAAAAUUUUAUUUCAGCCAAAAGCAAGAGGGGUGAAUUAAAAUGAACAAAAGGUACUGUUAAGACAAAGUUAAUGAAUAAAUGGAUGUUCAUUUGAAAUUUUCUUUAAGAAGGACAAAAGAAAAAAAUAAAUAAACUCACAAAUGAUAUAAGGUUACCUUCCAUUGUCGUGCUUUUUCAUGCUCGAUAAUGUCAGCAAUCUCAGGAUCAACGACCUCAAGUGGAGCAUUCAGUUGUUUUGGCCACUGCCAUAUCCACAUGAAAAAUUAACAAAUUAAAUUAAAAAAAAACCAGUACGGUACAGAAUGGAAACGUAUGAAGGAAGCUAGAGAAAAAUUUAUCAACUUACAGUGACACCAUUUUUCUCUUUCUCGUAAACAGCUUCAUUUGGCAAAGAUGACUGCGAAAAGAAAAGGAAUGCAAAAAGAAAAGAAAAUUACAAAAAGAGCAAACAGAACAGAAUGAACCAUUUGAAAGUCCAAAGAAAAUGGUAUAAAAAUGAAAGAGGCAAAACAGACAGACCAUGUAGUAGAGGGAGGAGCCAUUGAAGAGAGGACGAGUGGGUUUGUCGAGGGAAGAUGAGAGCCUGCGAAGAGCCAGAGCCAUGGCCAUUUUUGCUUCUCACUCUCCCGCUGCAAGAUGUUGUUCUGUUUCUUCUUUGUUUGUUGUAUGAUUAUGGUUAUGGCUAUGAGGGUGAGUUUUUUUCUUUUUUCCUUUUUUUUUUCGGUGGUUGGAGUAAAAUUUUCUGUUUGAAAAUUAUGGCUUUGUCGUUUCCGUUGUGAACUGGGUUGUCGUUCGUUCCAUGUCUCUGCCUCUAUUUUUUUCCCACUAAAAUUUGCCUUCAAACAGAAGUAAAUUCUUCUUCCUUUGCUCUCACUCACCUACAACGGACUCACCAAAUUUAUCAACUAUAAAUUAAGGAUUAUAUAAUUCUCAAUUGUUGUAAAUCACCAAUCUAUAACAAAAAUAAAGAGUAAUAAAAACAAAUCAUAUAAAUUUAGAGAUACUUAAUUCAAUCAAUCGAGUUAUAUCUGAAUAAAUUUAUAAUUUUAAUUUUAUCCAAAAAUAAAUGACCAGUCAAUAACGAGUAAAUUCUUUAUAAAUUUUGAGCUAAACAUCAAGUAAAGGCGAUAAAAUUGUUCUUUCGAUAUUCUAUAAUUUCUAGUUCAUAAAUUCCUUAAUUUUAGGUUCUCGAUUAUCGAAAAUGACAAAAAUAAAUACGUAAAUGUGUGUGGUUUGCGAUGAUUAAGAUUGGUUCUAAAUUUAUCAUCAUUGUGUGUACAUGAAUGGGUGUCCGAUGCAUCAAUUCUUUAUUUAUUAGGAAAAUGCUAGGCAAUAAAGAUUACAAUGUUGAUUGAAAAUACUGAAACUAAAAUUCGAAAAGCUAAGGUCGGAUUGAAAAAACUAAAUUGAUAAAAGGCCUAUAAAAACCAGCCGUGAAAUCCCUAUCCAAAUUCCACCGUUUCUUAGCCACAAAGUGAAUGUGGGAUAUCCUAUCUUGUUCUUGUGAGGCAAAUGUGACCACAUAAACUUUGAUUUGAACGGUUCUUCUACCACCAAACACAGAGUCUCAAACUCCUGCAUUGUGUCACUUUCUCAGACAUUUUAUUUUCACUCAAAGUCUGUCUUCUGGGCGUGAAUUUUAGAUCCAUGUCUUAUUAUUCACGAAAAGUCUCAACUGAUAUGGGCCUGGAAUUACACACACGGCCUGGAUAAAAUCACUCAUUUAUCUUCGUUGGGCUUCGAGAUUUGCCAACUUGCAAGGAGCACCUAACAUAUGGACCAAAUUCUUGUGUUUCAGGUUAAUUUUAAAAGCACUAGGGCAUAUUGUUUGUUUGUUAAGCAAAAUGUGGACUGAGGGUUUGUGCUAGGGUGAUGUUUAAUUAAUUCUACUAAUGUACUGAUUCCAUAUUUCCAUUUCGGAUUGAAAGAUACAACAAUUCGAUUCGAAACUGGCUUACACUCAUCAACCAAUAAUAUUGACAAGAAUCAAUUUUCCUUUUGUUGCCAAACAAGAAACUGGGCUUCGACCACUAUAUUUGUGGGUUACAAUUACCUGUUGGCCAUAAUCCUUUCAAUUAAACAAUCAUUAUUUUUAAUACGAAAUAUUACUCUGGGGAGCUAUUAUUUUAUUGGGUGGGUGGCUCUUAUCACCCUUUCAAUUUCUUAAAAAGAUAGUUUAAGUACUUUAUUUGACGUAUAUUUCUUUAUUUGACGUAUAGUUUAAAAUUCUAUGCCUUUUGACAACUCUCAAAUCCCUCUUAAAACACAUUUUUUUAAUUGAAAUUACUUAAAUAACCUAACACAUACUAAAUCAUUUCUUAUUUGGAAUGGAAAUUCAACUAAAAACUUAAAUAAAUUAUUCUUUACACAAACUUCUUAUACCCACCUCAUUUCAUAAUUUAUAAUUAUAUUUUAAAAUUUAACUGAAGAAUUUUCUUUCUUAGACAAUUAUAAGAGUUUAGAAUUAUAAAGAUAGAAAUUAUAUAAUAAGAAAAAAGUUUUAAGAUAAAUUUAAUAUUUUAGGAUUUGUGUGCAAAUUAAAAAGAAAACAUUUUUUGACUAAAAUUUUAUGGGAAGAGUAAUAAUAACAAUAAUAAUGUAAACUCAUUACUUGAAGGGAACAAGUUGAACAUAUUUCUGAGAUGACUUUAUAUGCCAUUCGCUCACUUUGAAAAUUUAAAGAAUAUAGAAAAUGUAGAUAAAAACGGAGAAAGCAGCAAUCCUGACAUCAGCUAAACAAAAAUAUUAGAUUUAAUCUCAAAUAAUAAUAUAAUAAAACCCAUAAAAAAUAUCAGAUUCAGGCAAGUCCAAAUGGCAAGGAUAUAUAUUCUUUCUUUUGUUAUUGCAUGUUUUCUGGUUGAUACAUAUCUUUCUAGUUGGUUGUUGAAUCGGAAAUGCCCAUUAUAUAAUCCCAUAUAAAAAUAUUUUAUAUAUUGGGAAAUUGUUGGUUUGAACUUUGCCCAACUUUGCCCACAUCCUAACCCUCUAUCUUUAUUUUAAUAGUAAUAACAACAAUAAUAAUGUAAACUCAUUACUUGAAGGGAACAAGUUGAACACAUUUCUGAGAUGACUUUAUAUGCCAUUCGCUCACUUUGAAAAUUUAAAGAAUAUAGAAAAUGUAGAUAAAAACGGAGAAAGCAGCAAUCCUGACAUCAGCUAAACAAAAAUAUUAGAUUUAAUCCCAAAUAAUGCUUGAAGUCCCAUCAUUUUUACUUAGUUUUCUAUUUAAAGUAUGGAAGAAAUAUGAAAAAAUUUAUGAUUGCGUCAUUAAAAUUACGGUAUUAAUAUUGUGAUUAAAAUAAAUUUUUUAAAUUCCAUAUAAGAAUAGUAAAUUAAAAUUAAAAUUAAUAAAUUAAUAUAAGAAUGGUAAAUUAGUGUUUUAAAAUUACAAAUAAAAUAAACUCUUGUAAAAAUGAAAUAAACUUAUAAAUCAAUAUUAAACUUUAAUUUUAAUAAAAUAGUUUAUUUAUUUAAUUUAUUUGAGCAAAGAAAAAAUUUACUCAUCAAUUGAAAAUAAAAUUUUUUUUAAUGAAAACAAUUAGAAUAAGUUCUAUUAAAUUGGUUUACCAUAAAUUCUAAUUCAUGUUAAGACAUUUAAAAUCUUAGCGUCUAAUCAUCAGGCCCUACUAAAGCCUGGCCAGACCCAGAGUCCCAGACUGAGUAUUUUAUUUUUGGUCACCCCAUUGGCACUUAUAUUUUCCAAAGCUACCAUCGAAAAUCAAAACAAAAUAAGACCUGCAUCGUAUAUAAUAUACAUAUCACGGGGAAUUGUUGAUCCUUAAAACAUAUAUCUAAUACGACGCUAGAUUUCUUUUUUCUAGUAAAAGGUAGGGCAAUAAUUGUACUGUUUCCAACAAUUUCGUCUUGACGAUGGAUUGACUAUUGUUUGUUCUGUUUUUGCUUGGAAUUGGUAAGCAUUUAGCUUACUGAAACGUAAGCUACUGUCCAAGCUUUGAUAAUGAAAGUUGCCAUGGUUUCCUUGAGAAAAGACUUCUAAACAACCUAUUUAUUUUUAUAUAAUUCCACAGCUAAUAUUACCUUUUGAUGCAGCUUCUCGGAGAUACAAUCGAUAAUUAUUAAUUGUCUUUCAAUUAGCUUUAUAGCUGCACUAUUACAAAGGUUAAUUAAGCUCCACGGACACGUUGUACCUCUGCUUCAUGUUGUUUCACCCUUUUGCCUUGGUCAAUUUACCUUUCUUCAUUUUCUUUAUUGUUCUUCUGCCCUCGCCCAGUUCACAAGUUUCCUUCCGUAUGCCUAGUUUUGACCCUGGUGAAAAAAAAGAAGAAAAAAUACUAUAUCAGGGAGAUGCAAUAUCUUCAGUUGGAGCCAUUGAAUUAACCAAAAACAACGAAUAUCUAUGUCGUGUGGGUUGGGCUACUUAUGCUGAGAGAGUGUCGCUCUGGGACUCUGACACAGGUAAGCUAACUGACUUCAGCACCAAAUUCUCCUUCCAAAUAGACACCCUGGGUGGGUCGUCCCACUUACGGCCACGGGCUCGUAUUUUUCUUAGCUCCUGUUGGAUUUCAGAUUCCUUCGAAUUCAGCUGGUGGCUUCUUAGGGCUGUUUAACACCACAGCUUCUUUCUCUUCUACAAAUCAUAUCGUCUCGGAGGAGUUUGAUUCCAACUCAAAACCCUGAGUGGGAUCCCCUUGAUGUUAAGGACCAUGUCGGAAUCAACAAUAACUCAAUUUCUUCAGCUGUCUCCACCCACUGGAACGUCAGCUUCCACAGACAAGAUACUGCUGAUGUGCAGAUUGCUUACAAUUCUACUACUAAGAAUUUGAGUGUGUCUUGGACCUAACGACUGACCCCUGAUCCUCGGGAGGAUACUAGUUUGUUUUACAUAAUUAAUCUGAUGAAAGUUCUAACACAGUGGGUGACAAUUGGCUUCUCAGCUGCUACAGGCCAGUUUGGAGAGCGACAUAUACUUGAAUAGUAGUUCAGCUCAAGCUUGGAUAUUAAAAGUACAAAUGGAACUGAUGGUAAAAAGAUCAGAAUAAUAGUUGCUUUUACAGUACCAAUUGGUGGUCCGAUAGCUGCAGCGAUAACGGGACUGUUGAUUUUGCAGAGGCAGAAGAAGGAAAGAAAUCUGCUGCAGAAAGAGAAACCUUAACUUCGAUAAAUGAGGACCUUGAAAGAGGAGCAGGACCAAGAAGAUUUUUUUAUAGAGAUCUUGCUUCUGCAACCAGCAACUUUCCCAAGAACAAAAUGUUGGGCUAAGGAGGGUUUGGUUCUGUUUACAAGGGUUAUCUUAUUGAUUUGGAUAUGGCUGUUGCUGUCAAGAAGGUUUCAAGAGGAUCUAAAUAAGAGAAAAAGGACUAUGUAACCAAGGUGAAGACAAUUAGCCAGUUGAGGCAUCGUAAUCCGGUGCAACUCCUAGGCUGCUGCCAUGACAGAGGCGAAUUCUUGCUUGUGUACGAGUUCAUGCCAAACGGUAGCCUUGAUGCUCGCCUGUUUGGCAAGAAGAGUCCUCUUGCUUGGGCUGUAAGGUACAUGAUUUCUCUCGGUUUGGCCACGGCUUUGCUCUAUCUUCAUGAAGAAUAGGAGCAAUGCAUUGUGCACAGGGAUACCAAAUCGAGCAAACUAAUGUUAAAUGUUGACGUCGAAAUUUGGACUAGUCAGUUACUAACUGGAUAAUAAAUCUUUGUGUUAUCAUUAAAUUUAUUUGUUGGGGAAGCAGUUUACGAUCACUAGCAGAUAACUCGCAAACACCUGAAAUCACAAAUACCAGUAAGAGGCACCAAAAAAUUUUCCGGUGUGAACCCUCCAACGCCCAAGUCAGUUAUCGGGUUUAUAGGAAAAACAAAAUAUGUAAUUUCUAGUUUUUAUGAAUAAAUAAUCUUAAGUAAAUGGAAUAGUAAAAUCAAAACAGAGAAAGAAAGUUCCACCUCUCCUGACAUGAUUUUCUUGGAGUUUUUAUAAACACCCCAUCCCCACGACCUUAGAUCAUGGCAAUUGAUUGACAUUAAAAAGUGUACAUUCAAUGAAGAUAAAAUUAUCAAUUUUUCACUUAUUGUGUAGAUUAAUGCGCUCAUUAUUCUUAAAUUAUUUUAAUACUCUCCAAAUAUAUUUAUGUUAAAUUAAUUUGUAACUUUGUAAUAUGUUAAUUUUAUUUUAAUUUUAUUGUAGAUAUAUUUCAAGAAUAAGGAGGAGUUGGAACUGGAAGCGAGAACAAAGAAAAAUUACUGGAGUAUUUUGAAAUGUAUUAUUGAGGAGAUGUAAUUAAUAAAAAAAAUAUUUCAAAAAAAAUAAAAAAAGAAUAAAAGGUAAGCAACCAUGCUUUGGUUGCUCGUGAUGGUCAAGUGGCCAUGUGAAUUGUUUCUUUUUCUUUUUUUGUUGUGUAAUCAACUUCCUUAUAAUAUAUUUUAAAAGUCGGUUAAAUAAAAAUAGUGUUUUAUUUUCUUUCAAUACGAGUGGAUAAUUUUACUAAGUUAAGGUGAAGGAUGAAACUCAAGGUUUCAAAUUAUUAAAUUAAUUGCUUUCUCAAGUGAGUUUUAAGUUUAUUUUAUUUUUUUAAUGAUUAUUUUUAUGUCAUGUUAAUUUAUAAAUUUUAUUGAAUCUGUAUUGUAUUUUAACAUAAUGGCAACAUAUUAAUAUAGUUGUGGCACAUUAAGUACUUGAUUUCAUAUUUAUCCACACACAUAGUUAAUUAAAAAUUAAAUGAUAUAAUAAUUAACUGGUAAAAGUGAGGCAAAAUAUAAAAAAAUGAGAGAGUAGUAAAAUUAUAGUUUGAAUACUGAGAGUGGAUCCCGUAACCUUAGCAUAUUUUUAAAUUAAUUCAUAGUGAUUUCUUUUCCCGCAAUUAAUUUUCUUUAUUUAACAAAUUGGCUACUAGAUUUUAAAUUUUAUGUGGUUCGACCCCAGACUCAUCGGGUUAUAUUAUAAUUAGAAACUCUUAUACUUGGGAGUAAUAACACUUUUGAGUCAUGUCAGCAAUAAAUAACCAUUAAUGAAUUAAAUUCGUGCUAUGAUUUUUUGGAGGAGAUUUGUAGCAAUUAUUUUGACUGAGUCUUGCUUCCUAGUGACUUGGUCUAAUGUCUCUUCCUAUCCACUCGAGGUCACUAGAAUUACAUCAUGGUCGAGGUGGCUUACUCGAGGUCACCAGAAUUACCUCCUGGUCGAGGUGGUAUGCUCAUGGUCUCAAGAAUUACCACCUAGUUGAGGUGGCCUAUUCGAGGUUAUCAAAAUUACCAUAUGGUUGAGGUGGCCUGCUCGAGGUCACCACAAUUUUCUCCUAAUAGUCUAUCAACUAUUUACUUACUCUUUACCUCGAGGAGAUCAUGAUCACCCUAUUUUAUUCCCCAAACAUUAGAUUUUAAUUUUAAUGCCAAAUUAGGCGACUUUGGAUUAGCCAGGCUGAUGGACCAUGAGCUUGGUCCUAAGACUAUUAUGCUGGUAGGAACUUUAGCCUACAUGGCCUCUGAAUACAUUAGCACAGGCAGGGUUAGUAAAGAGUUAGAUGUGUUCAGCUUUAGAGUAGUUGCCUUAGAAAUUGCUACUGGAAGAAAAGUGAUUAAUCGUUACAAAGCACAGAAACUUCGAACUCAGUUUGUGGUUCCUCAUCCCUGCUCCAAUACUGGAUCAGUUGAGAAACUGGGAGUCGAAGGCGAGAAGGCUGUGCUUGGGGGAAGCAGUAAGAACUACUGUCCAAAACUGGUGGCUUGGGUCUGGGAUUUUUAUGGAGAAAGAAAGCUACUUUCAGCUGCUAAUGAGAGACUGGAUUCGAGAUUUGAUGAGCAACAAAUGACAUGUUUGUUGAUUGUUGGAUUAUGGUGUGCUCACCCUGACCGUUGUUUCAGGCCUUCCAUAAGGCAUGCUAUUCAAGUCCUUAAUUUUGAAACAACAAUGCCAAAUCUUCCAUCAAAAAUGCAUGUUCCAAGUUAUCAUGUGCCUACACCAUCUGUCAGCUAUGGCGAACCUUUCAUUACAAAUUCAAGCUUUGAAGUUGGUCGUUGAGCUUGAGCCUGUUCAUUUCUUGUAUGUUUUCUUUUAUGUUGUAAUGAAUGAAAAUAAAUAUGUUGAAUAAACCUCUGGGAUUUAUAGGAAGUUACAAAUUUAUAACAUUGAUAGUUGUUUGAAUUUGUAUGCACUAUAUGUAUGUGGAAAGUAUUUCAUAUUUGAUAUUUAUGAAAGGAAUAACUGAGCAAUUUUAGUAUAUUUGUACAAUAUGGACAAUUCUUCUUAUGGCAUUCUUAGAAGUAAAAUAUUUUGUGAACAAAUUAUGUUGUGUUGUUCUUCGAACAGCACCUGAACAGGUGACUGGUGUGGGGCAAAUUGCCAAUUCAUAGAUUUUUAAUUUUUUUCAGCUAACAUCUAAAGCCAGAGCAAAGGGAAGAUACACGUUAGGAUUAAGGAUUGUUGUUCCUUAAAUAAGAAGCUCAAGAUCUUUUAUCAAUAAUUGUGUUCCUAUCACCGUUCAUUCUUAUAUUUAGCUUGGAAAUUAGAAUUGGUAAGAAUUUAUGGUGUUUUUACUAAUUAAUAAUCGGAAUGGACUGAAAUGAAAAUAAGAAUAAAUUAUUUAAUUUAGAUCUGGAAAUCGGAAUCAGAAUAAACUGUAUUGCCAUUAAUGUGUUUACUUUAUCUUGGAAUCAUAAUGGAUUGUUACAAGUUAUUAAAUUGACCUUAGUUGAUUAUUGUCAUUAUUUAUAACAACAACAACAACAACAAUUAUUGUUAAUAAUAAUUAUAAUAUUUCUUAUUAUUUAUAAUCAUUGUAUUCCUAGUAGUAGACUAGUAGGAGUAGUAAUAAAUAUUAAUUAUAAUGAUUAAUAAUUAUAAUUAAUAUUAAUAAUUUUUUUUUAUUCUUAUGAUGAUGAUGAUAUAAUGAAGGAUAAAAUGAAAAUUUCAAGAUUUAAAUGGGGUAAUAUAGUCAGUUUAAGAAAUAUGAUUCUCAUUCCUACCUCUAUCUAUAAGAAUGAAAACUCUAGUAAUCAUUUUUAAUUUUAGGUGGGGUCAGCCAAUUUGUUUCUCAUUCCAUAUAUCAUUUAAGUAAGUAAAUAUAUCAUUUAUUCUCAUUUCUUAAUUUCCACUCUCAUUCUCAAUUAGUAGUAAACACACCAUUAAUUUAAUGAAACUUAAGUUGAUGUCCAAUAAGCUUAGGUAACCUUUGAUUAUGAAAGGUUAGUAAUUAUAUCACUAUAUUUUUUAGGAUCAUUUUAAUGAUUGAGGUGAAGUUGACCCUAUCGUGCCGGCGAUAUUUCUGUCAUCUCAAUCUUUCUAUACCAUUUUAUCUUUCGAUACGUUGGUCGUUAAGCUAGUUUUUCGAAUGCUAAUUAUUUUUACACAGUCUUGUGUUUUCAAUUGAACAUAUGUUAGUAUGCAUGAUUAAAUGGUGUUGAUUGAAUACAUUAACGAUAAUGCUAUUUUUGCUAAAUUCAAAUAUCUAAUUGAGAUACACACUGAUCUGUUACCAAUAAUUUAAUAUUAUGUGUUUAAUAUUAACUGAUUUUAUUAAUAAUUAUUAACUUAUUAUUUUUACAAUACAUAUAAUUAUGACACAUAAAAUAUCACAUCAUUAAAUAACUCAAUUGAGUCAUGAAAAUUUUCAUUACCAAUUUAUUGUCGCGGGAAGCCGAGAGCAUGCUCAAAAAAAUUCAACCGCAUUUGCGGCGACUCUGUGAGGUGAAAUAUCAAAUCAGUCCCUGUUGUUUGCGAAUGUAACGAAUAAGUCCACAAAUUUACCAUUUGUUUUAGAUUCAGUUCAUGGUAUCGGCAGCGGAUUGUGGAGUUAAAUGCCUCGGAAUCGGAAAUGUACGUCCCACACAUAAAUAAAACAUAUUAGAAUGGUAUAAAAAUGAAAAUUCUUAUUUGAUCAUUUCUUAUAUCAGUUUGCAUAAUUUUGUUAUAUGCCAUGUUACUUGAUUCCGUUUUGGAUUAAGAUUUAAUGCUGAGUUUUUUUUUUUUUUUUUAGCACUGAAUCAAUAAUUAAGAUUUAUUUAAAUUUUUAUUUUUUUAUUUCUCUUAACUAACAAUUAUUGAUUCAGUAUUCAAUAAAAACUCAACUCAAUACUGAAUUCUUUUAUUUAUAUUCACUGUGCUAAGAAACCAUAAGGAGAAAGAAGAAAUCCCAUCUAGUUUUAUUGCAGGUUUAUUUGCUUCCUGAAAGCCUCAGUAAAUACAAAGUAUUUAUAUACAUUAAUUGUGAUCUAAAUCGAGGUUUGCUGUAUAUUGUAUUCAUAAAAGCGCCAAAUCAAAGGGUCGAUAGUUGAUACAUGGCUCAUCAUCACAAGUUACAUUUCAUCCCUCGUCGUCUUUGUGUAGUAAAAGCUCAUACAGGCUGGCUUCUGCUGCUCUGCUCAACACAUAUAUGUUCAAUCAGCAAAAACAGAAACAGAGAACCAAUAAGUAGCUGAAAUUUAAGAAUAACAAAAGGGAAUGUGACAUGCAGUCAUAGAAAUUCACUGGCAGAUCAGUAAGCUGUCAAAUACCUGUUGAUGUAGGAGAGUCCAAUGUAAAAAGAGGUUAAAAAAAAAUUGAGAAACCGCAAGGGAUGAUAAUCCUAGGUAUAGAGAACUAGGCCACCCAAGCUGAUCUAAUGAUACUGAAGUAAGUAUGUAUACCUAGUACAGUCGCGUUUUUCUCUCAGCUCUUGUACUUCAUGGUUUCCUUUUCAAACCCAAUUGUGGGGAAUUGCUUUGCGUACUCCUCAACAUCAUGGCAACGUUUCGCAAUCUCGGAUUGGAAGUUAGCGGACUGUGUUGUGGCCACGAAAUCUUUCAACUUUGUUCCUGGUUUACAAAAUUAACAGCACCCAACUGCAUGUUAGUAGAUUCAACCACCUGGCUCAUUAAACAGCACAAGCAUUUCAGCAUGAGUGAAGAUCAAACACACACAAUCCCUAAGAGAAUGAAAGUUAAGGUAAAAAACAUUGGUAAGAACCUUGAGUUUCAGACUUGAUCUUCACAGUCAACUUCACAGCAGCAUCAAAGAAAUAUGCUACCUUGGCAAAAUCCUCCUCAACAAAUCCCCUAGAAGUAAGAGCCGGAGUUCCUGAAAUGCAAUUCAAUCCAUCAAGAAACAAUGCUCAUACAGUGAUCGUAUAAGUAUGAUGUAAAUAUGUAAUAAGAAUAUGUAAUCAGAGUCCCUACCCAUCCUGAUGCCACCUGGAACCAUGGCCGACACAUCCCCAGGAACAGUGUUUUUGUUGGCUGCAAUAUGAACAGCUUCCAACACUUUUUCAACUCUGGAACCAUCAAUUCCCUGUUGAUGGAACAUUUUGGCAAAAAGUAAGAUCAUCCAACUUUUCAUGGUAAAACUAGUAAUAAAAGCAGUACAUGGAGCCAAACUCUCCAAUUUAUUCUAGUAGCAAAAUAAGAUGUCUUAAAUUAACACUCACAGUACAUUAGUAAUUGGACAUCAUCCAGGACUAGCACAAUAAAAGGAUAAAAAAGAUAAAUCUGAUACCUUGUUUUUCAAAUUCACCAACACCAGAUGGUUCUCAGUUCCACCAGAAACAAGUUCAUAGCCCAUCUCGAGCAGAGUCUGUUAAAUGACAUUUUGGGCAGUUAAAACCCAGAAAGAUAGCAGUUGCGCCCUCACAUUGAUGAGAGAAUGUUGCUCAAAUAUGCAAUCAUGACAAAGCUUUGUUAACAAGAUCUUGUUUUGCCAACAAUUUUGCUAUAUGUCAUGAAGCAUACCUGUGCAAAUUUCGAGCAAUUGCUCAGAACUUGCUCUUGAUAGGCUUUAUACCCUGGAGUAGUGGCCUGCAUCCAUGCCAAGUUAAAAAUUAUAAACUGAAAGUUUAAAUGGUAUUGAAAAUUGGUCAUUUGGCCAAAAAGGUUAAGAAGAAUAAAGCAAAUGCAUGAUAAUUCAGGAGAUGCUCCUUAAUGCUGGUCAAUAAACAAGUAUCCACAUUGGACAAAUAUCAAAACUGCCAAGGAUCUGUUUAUUGUUCGUGCUUUAUAUGAGCCAGUAACUCACAUAAUAUUAUAUGUUGUUACCUAAUGUUUCUCGUACUUUAGAAGUAUCCCACUAUACAAAACUGAUCCUGUAUUAGUUAGUAUACAAAAACACCGAUCCAUAAUAAAGGAAACAGAGCACUUCUUGGACUACUUGAAGACCAUUUUAGUGUCUGCAGUAUGACAGUUGUAGCUUGGAAGGUGGAAUGGUGGCCAAGGCACUCAAUUGAACAUGACAACCUAACUAACGCAUAUAGGGUAAUGGUACAGACUGUUCCUGCCAUUCAAUUAUCUGACACAUGGCCUUCCCUUGUCUUCCUCAAUGUUUUCAGAGUUGUUCUGGUUUGAGACAAAAGCAGGAUACACAUGCAGAGAAAAAACAUGAAUAUGACUAAAUGUUAUCAAUGUGCAUACCUGUUUCAAGGCAACUGCUAAACCAGUAAUUGUGUGGUUGUGUGGGCCACCUUGGAGUCCAGGAAAGACAGCUUGAUUUAUUUUUUCUUCAUAAUCAUAAAACACCUGCAGGUAAACUCGUAGGCAUAAAGAUUUGCUUCAAUUAAACCAACAUAGUGUCCCUUCAAGAAAGAAUUAUACUAUAUACUCAAAACUAUUAUUUCAUUUUAACAACUCACCUCCUUCCCUUGUUUGUUAAUCUCUUUCACUCCCUUCCUAAAGAAAAUCAUGGCUCCACGUGGCCCACGAAGUGAUUUGUGAGUUGUGGUGGUCACAACAUCUGCAUACUCAAAAGGUGAAGGGAUGACACCAGCAGCAACCAAACCACUAAUGUGUGCCAUAUCUGCCAACAUUAUAGCUUUUUGUUUGUUGCAAACCUGUUAAAACACUUUAGAAUAUGAAACCUCAGACCUUCUAAACCAUCAAGACAGGCCAAAACCUUAAAAUUUGAUGUAGGACUAUCAUAAUUGGAUUAGACUGGAUCAACCUAAUGGAGAUUACCUUGCGAAUACGCUCAUAAUCAUACAAUCGUGCAUAAGCACUAGCACCAGCAACAAUCAAUUUUGGCCUGAAGAGGGUGGCACUUUUCUCCAACUGCAAUACAAUGAUUUAAGUCACAACACAUUUUACUGACAGAUAUAUUGAAAGGUAUAUACAAACAAUCAAUACCAUCUGAAACUCAACACUCAUUUCUAUGCAUGACUUAUUGAAGUUCGUCAACCUUCCCCAUCUGUCCAGACUUGUAUAUAAUGACCCAAAAUAUCAAAUUUGGUGAUAGAAAAAACAUGAAUGGAUAACUCGGAUGCAUGCUUAUCUUGACAAUUUCCUGCUAACCAUGGAGGACUAAAAUCAAUUGUUAAUGAAAUUGAAGAUUUUAUAGCUGUACGUCCAUAUAUUUGAUGGAGAGCACAUGUUAAAUCUUCAGCUUUGUAUACGAAAAUCAGAUAUCUUGCAAUUCGCAUGAGAGAAAAAGAAACAGCCUCACUAAUAUAGAAUUACUGCCAUAAAUUUUCAAGAUUUUCCACUUAAAGCGUAUCAGUAAUUAGUCUGUUCUACACAGCCUGAAUUCCAACUUUGAUGACGCAACUUUUCCAUUCACUUCAACUGCCAUGGUAUGAAAUUGUGUAAUCAUAGGGAAUUUAGUGGACCUAAAAGGGUACCAAAAAUAUUAAAAUUUCAAUACCUGGUCAUAGUCUAUAUAGCCAGUGCUCUCAUUCAAUCUGUAUGGCAUUGUCUCAAAAAAUAUGGACACUGCAGAUAUCUUUUUGGUAUCUGUCUGCAAAAUAAAAAUAACAGUAUUAAUUAUUUGAUGUUACAUUCAGUCAUAUAACAUGACCAGAAAAUAGAACAUAGACUAAUAAAUUUCUCCGUAAUUGAUGAAAAGUUGCAGACUAAGUCCAUUUUAAUAUGAGAAAUGAUGAGAUCAGGUUCAUUGGUUAUAUAAUACUACAGCUCCUGUAGCUUUAAAAUCUCUAAGGAUAAAGAAUCUGUGGAUAGUGAAUGUUAGGUUGAUAAAAAUGGGAUUUCAUAGAUCUUGAUAUUGGUCAUUUAUAGCUUAAAUCCUAUUAUAGGGCCUUUAACCUGAAAGGUCUAGGAGAGCAGGACAGGUCAACAUACCUAUUAGAUAAAAUAAA
rnacentral:lncRNA from 1 species